rnacentral:rRNA from 1 species
GAGCUUGCUCCUUUGGCGUCGAGCGGCGGACGGGUGAGUAAUGCUUGGGAAUGUGCCUUAUGGUGGGGGACAACAGUUGGAAACGACUGCUAAUACCGCAUAAUGUCUUCGGACCAAAGUGGGGGACCUUCGGGCCUCACGCCAUAAGAUCAGCCCAAGUGGGAUUAGCUAGUUGGUAAGGUAAUGGCUUACCAAGGCGACGAUCCCUAGCUGGUUUGAGAGGAUGAUCAGCCACACUGGGACUGAGACACGGCCCAGACUCCUACGGGAGGCAGCAGUGGGGAAUAUUGCACAAUGGGCGCAAGCCUGAUGCAGCCAUGCCGCGUGUGUGAAGAAGGCCUUCGGGUUGUAAAGCACUUUCAGUAAGGAGGAAAGGUUAAGUGUUAAUAGCACUUAGCUGUGACGUUACUUACAGAAGAAGCACCGGCUAACUCCGUGCCAGCAGCCGCGGUAAUACGGAGGGUGCGAGCGUUAAUCGGAAUUACUGGGCGUAAAGCGUACGCAGGCGGUUUGUUAAGCGAGAUGUGAAAGCCCCGGGCUCAACCUGGGAACUGCAUUUCGAACUGGCAAACUAGAGUGUGAUAGAGGGUGGUAGAAUUU